AGAGUUUGAUCCUGGCUCAGGAUGAACGCUGACAGAAUGCUUAACACAUGCAAGUUAACUUAAUUUAUGACUUCGGUCAUAAUGAUGGUAGCGGACGGGUGAGUAACGCGUAAAGAAUCUGCCCUACAGUCUGGGACAACAGUUGGAAACGACUGCUAAUACCGGAUAUUAUGAUUUUGCCGCAUGGCGAGAUUAUGAAAGCUAUAUGCGCUGGAGGAGGACUUUGCGUCCCAUUAGUUAGUUGGUGAGGUAAUGGCUCACCAAGACAGCGAUGGGUAGCCGGCCUGAGAGGGUGAACGGCCACAAGGGGACUGAGACACGGCCCUUACUCCUACGGGAGGCAGCAGUGGGGAAUAUUGGACAAUGGGCCACAAGCCUGAUCCAGCAAUUCUGUGUGCACGAUGAAGGUUUUCGGAUCGUAAAGUGCUUUCAGUGGGGAAGAAGAAAGUGACGGUACCCACAGAAGAAGCGACGGCUAAAUAUGUGCCAGCAGCCGCGGUAAU
rnacentral:rRNA from 1 species